rnacentral:rRNA from 1 species
UGACCGAGCGAUGCCGCGUGCGGGAUGAAGGCCCUCGGGUUGUAAACCGCUGUCAGUUGGGAGGAAGGCUCCGUGAAGAACGGAGUUUGACCUAUCUUCAGAGGAAGUCCGGCUAAGUCGUGCCAGCAGCCGCGGUAAUACGAACCGGACAAACGUUAUUCGGAAUUAUUGGGCUUAAAGGGUGCGUAGGCGGCGCGGUAAGUGAGGUGUGAAAGCCCACGGCUCAACCGUGGAACUGCGCUUCAUACUGCCGUGCUUGAGGGAGACAGAGGUAAGCGGAACUGAUGGUGGAGCGGUGAAAUGCGUUGAUAUCAUCAGGAACACCGGUGGCGAAAGCGGCUUACUGGGUCUCUUCUGACGCUGAGGCACGAAAGCUAGGGUAGCGAACGGGAUUAGAUACCCCGGUAGUCCUAGCUGUAAACGAUGAGCACUUGGUUGGGGAUCCUCCCAUAGGUUCCCGGCCGCAGCGAAAGUGUUAAGUGCUCCGCCUGGGGAGUAUGGUCGCAAGGCUG